UUGCACGCUGGCGGCAUGCCUUACACAUGCAAGUCGCACGGCAGCACGGGUGCUUGCACCUGGUGGCGAGUGGCGAACGGGUGAGUAAUACAUCGGAACAUGUCCUGUAGUGGGGGAUAGCCCGGCGAAAGCCGGAUUAAUACCGCAUACGAUCUACGGAUGAAAGCGGGGGACCUUCGGGCCUCGCGCUAUAGGGUUGGCCGAUGGCUGAUUAGCUAGUUGGUGGGGUAAAGGCCUACCAAGGCGACGAUCAGUAGCUGGUCUGAGAGGACGACCAGCCACACUGGGACUGAGACACGGCCCAGACUCCUACGGGAGGCAGCAGUGGGGAAUUUUGGACAAUGGGCGAAAGCCUGAUCCAGCAAUGCCGCGUGUGUGAAGAAGGCCUUCGGGUUGUAAAGCACUUUUGUCCGGAAAGAAAUCCUUAGCCCUAAUACGGUCGGGGGAUGACGGUACCGGAAGAAUAAGCACCGGCUAACUACGUG
rnacentral:rRNA from 1 species